AUUUAUAAGAUGGUUAAGAUAAUAGCAAGUAAUGAUUCAAAUAUGCAUUUCGUAUGACUAAAAAUUUUGAUGAUGAAAAGACAGGACAACCACGGUCAAAAGAAAGGAUAAUCGUCAAAACACAAACAGAUGAGCAAUUCUUUGUAUAAAAACACCACUUCAUAACUGCGCGUUUUACACGCCUAUACCGUUUCUGAAAAUUAAUGGCAAAUCACCCCAAUCGAAUCUAUAAGUAUUUAUGUCUUCUGCGAUCACGACGAACCAACAUUAUACCAUAGGAUACAAUUGCACCCAAUAACAAGAAAACCAUAAAGUUUGUCAAGUUAUAUGGCGAGUAAGCAUUUCCCAUUGCCUUUUUUAUCUCCUUUUCAAAUUCUGCUAAAUGUUUAGAAGUACCAUCUGCAGUGGAAGAUUGCGCAGAUAGAGAAUCAUGUAGCAAUUUUUCAAGGGCAUUAAAUCUUUCACUUGGGAACUGUGAAGUAGAAGAAAUAUCGUUCAAACGCUCCAAAGCAUUAGUCAACGCAAAAUGCAAAGAGUCCAUCUUCUGGCGUUGAGAUUCUACUAGAUUAAAAAGCUUUGCCAAAUCAGCCUUUAUUGCGUUCAAACCUUCAGUGUCAAUAACUGUUUGAGGACUAGUAUUGUCACCGACGCUUUGCUUUGUAUUGGAGGUAGGAUUCAAAUUUUCAUUAUUAGAUGUAUCUGGAGGAAGUAUAUUGAGGUUCGAUAAAGCCACCAAGUCUUUUGCAGACGUAGAUUGAGAGGAAACUCCAAAAUAAUACCCCUGAGGCAAAAUGACAUCUUUUACUUGAAAGCAGGGCUUGUCAUUCACAAAUAACUCUAAUCCAGAUUGGUCACCGUAUUUGAGAAUAAUAUUGUUCAAAGCCUCAGGAGAGCUCUCAAUGGUACAUUUAGCAAAGGGCGGAAGAUCGGGGUCAGUAAACUGAGCAAGUUCAAAACUUUUAUCAUUCAAAUAGCCACGAACAAAGAUUUUACCAGUUUGAUCGAUUUCCUGGGAAAUCAGAAGGCCGUCCCACUUAUCGGAGGCGCCAAAAACUGGACCUUCUGAACCGACAGCGCUUGUAUACCAAAUCGCAAAAAAGGUGUUUUCGUUCUCUGAUACAUGAGCUACAAAUGAAGUCGAUAGCUGCCAGCCAACUUGUCGUAAAACGCUAGUUGACCAAAGGGAUCCAGAGCGUGCUUCAUUACUGUCUUUGCUGGUUAAGUAAACGUAACCUGAAUCUUCAUCCACACUACCGUACCAUUUCCAUUCAACGGGAAUGGCGUUACUUAGUGAAUGAAGUUGCAAAAACUGAGAUUUAGGGACGGCGUAAGCCAAUGUACAACAAAACGAUAAUACAUGAAACAGGGAGCAAAACUUCAUUUUUCUUUACUUCGUUUAAAAAUAGAUAAAUGAAUAUUGUGAAAGUAUGCCAAAAAAAAGAGAGAGAAACAGAAAUUGAAAGAAAGG